AUUGGUGAUAUCAGAGAUUGACUGGAUGCCUGAAGCACACAGGCAUUUUGUACAGCAUUGUACCAGGGUGAAAGAAAAAAAGAAAGCAACAGUCUGCCUCUCUGUGAAUCAUGGAGAUCCAUCCUUGACUUCUAAUGCAUGA
rnacentral:lncRNA from 1 species